rnacentral:rRNA from 1 species
CCUACGGGAGGCAGCAGUGGGGAAUAUUGGACAAUGGGCGAAAGCCUGAUCCAGCCAUGCCGCGUGUGUGAAGAAGGCCUUCGGGUUGUAAAGCACUUUCAGUGGGGAAGAAAGCCUUGGGGCUAAUACCCUCGAGGAAGGACAUCACCCACAGAAGAAGCACCGGCUAACUCCGUGCCAGCAGCCGCGGUAAUACGGAGGGUGCGAGCGUUAAUCGGAAUUACUGGGCGUAAAGCGCGCGUAGGCGGUCUGAUAAGCCGGUUGUGAAAGCCCCGGGCUCAACCUGGGAACGGCAUCCGGAACUGUCAGGCUAGAGUGUAGGAGAGGAAGGUAGAAUUCCCGGUGUAGCGGUGAAAUGCGUAGAGAUCGGGAGGAAUACCAGUGGCGAAGGCGGCCUUCUGGACUGACACUGACGCUGAGGUGCGAAAGCGUGGGUAGCAAACAGGAUUAGAUACCCUUGUAGUC